UCUUUCUUUUUCUUUUUCUUUCUCUUUUUCUCUCUCCAUCAAACACAUCAACAUGGCAUCCACACCAGAAACAAUCACCCUUAAAGUGUGUUACAACGAUGACAUGAGAAGAAGGAAAAUAUCAACAAAAAAUUUAAGUUUUGAUUCCC
rnacentral:ribozyme from 1 species